rnacentral:lncRNA from 1 species
AUUGACAAGGCCAUCACGUGAUGGAUUAGUGGGGCCCCGGGGAGGCCUUUCAAAGGGCGGACAAUGGCCCCGGCUCAGCUUGAUCGGAUCUCUCCCACCGUCGAGAGGGGAGCGCCGAGCAGCCGACGACGUUCUCAGGCCCGAUAAUAGGAUUAUCUUCUCCAUUUCAAGUUCGAUACAGCAUAUUAUCAUCAUAACAACCUUAUAAACAGUGAUUCCUUCCAAGUCAUUCAGUAAGAUUUCACGACUGAGUAAGGAUUUGAAUCCAGGGAUUCUUAGGCAACUUCUACAUGAAGUGCUGUCGCAUACAGGACCACUUCUGGCUGAUUGGACCAGAAAUGAUGAUAACACCUCUGCAUGAAAGAGCUGCUUAAGCCAAAGGUACCAGCCAAGGAGCCUGUAGGUGGAGGUCAGAGGCCCUGCUUGAAGUCCUGCAUGGGAGAAGCAGCUUCCCCCACAUUUUGAGGAUGUGUGUUUUCUUCUUGAACUUCUUUAAAACAUUUUCUGUUUGUUUUUGUACUUUUGUUAUAACUGCUUCUCAGUAAGCUGAGUGUACUAUGUAAAGGUCCUAUAUAAAUAAGUUGGUAGUGGUGGUGAUGAUGACAACAAUUAUAUUGUUAUAUAGUUGUUUUUUAUUCUUCCAGAAGUCAAAUCCUCUGAAGAUGGACAUUGUAGCUAUGUCCAGAAGCUUAGGUUCUCAGAAGAACUAUGGAACACGGCACAGCAGCCCAAAAACUACUACAGAUGAGCCUGAACCUGGCUGUGAAAGCCUACAUUCUACCAUAUUCACCAAAAGUUGUGUUGCCCCACAGGGUGAUUUUAGGAGGUUGGAAUCCAGCUCUAUGUAA